rnacentral:sRNA from 1 species
GCCAGGCGUGGUGGUGCAUGCCUAUAAUCCCAGCAGUCUGGGAGGCUGAGGUAGGAGGAUUGCAAGUUGAAAGCCAGUCUCAGCAACUUAGUGAGGCCCUGAGCAACUUAGCGAGACCCUGUCUCUA